rnacentral:rRNA from 1 species
AUUGAACGCUGGCGGCAGGCCUAACACAUGCAAGUCGAGCGGAUGAAGGGAGCUUGCUCCUGGAUUCAGCGGCGGACGGGUGAGUAAUGCCUAGGAAUCUGCCUGGUAGUGGGGGAUAACGUCCGGAAACGGGCGCUAAUACCGCAUACGACCUGAGGGAGAAAGUGGGGGAUCUUCGGACCUCACGCUAUCAGAUGAGCCUAGGUCGGAUUAGUUAGUUGGUGGGGUAAAGGCCUACCAAGGCGACGAUCCGUAACUGGUCUGAGAGAAUGAUCAGUCACACUGGAACUGAGACACGGUCCAGACUCCUACGGGAGGCAGCAGUGGGGAAUAUUGGACAAUGGGCGAAAGCCUGAUCCAGCCAUGCCGCGUGUGUGAAGAAGGCCUUCGGAUUGUAAAGCACUUUAAGUUGGGAGGAAGGGCAGUAAGUUAAUACCUUGCUGUUUUGACGUUACCAACAGAAUAAGCACCGGCUAACUUCGUG